GAUGUACUCCCUCCGUCCCAAAAUUCUUGUCUUAGAUUUGUCUACAUACGGAUGUAUCAAGUCACGUUUUAGUAUUUGAUACAUCCGUAUCUAGACAAAUUUAAGACAAGAAUUUUGAGACGGAGGGAGUACAUC
rnacentral:pre_miRNA from 1 species